rnacentral:rRNA from 1 species
CAAUAGCGUAUAUUAAAGUUGUUGCAGUUAAAAAGCUCGUAGUUGGAUUUCUGAUUGGAGAGUCCGGCCCUGCCCGCAAGGGUGGUGCGCCAGCGUCUGCUCUGGUCAUCCUUGGGACUAACGUGUCUGGCAUUAGUUUGUCGGGCUCGGGAAUCCCAUCGUUUACUGUGAAAAAAUUAGAGUGUUUAAAGCAGGCUUAUGCCGCUGAAUACAUUAGCAUGGAAUAAUAAGAUAGGACUUUGGUACUAUUUUGUUGGUUUGCAUACCAAGGUAAUGAUUAAUAGGGAUAGUUGGGGGUAUUCAUAUUUAAUUGUCAGAGGUGAAAUUCUUGGAUUUAUGAAAGAUGAACUUAUGCGAAAGCAUUUACCAAGGAUGUUUNCAUUAA